ensembl:misc_RNA Y_RNA Y RNA
GGCUGGUCCGAUGGUAGUGGGUUAUCAGAACUUAUUAACAUUAGUGUCACUAAAGUUGGUAUUCAACCCCCCACUGCUAAAUUUGACUGGCUUUUU